GACGAACGCUGGCGGCGUGCUUAACACAUGCAAGUCGAACGGAUCAUUCAAUCUUUUUGGUUGGGUGGUUAGUGGCGAACGGGUGAGUAACACGUGAGUAACCUGCCCUUCACUGGGGGAUAACUGUGGGAAACUUCAGCUAAUACCGCAUGUUCACGCAUUCUCGCAUGGGGGUGUGUGGAAAGAUUUUUUGGUGGGGGAUGGGCUCGCGGCCUAUCAGCUUGUUGGUGGGGUGAUGGCCUACCAAGGCUUUGACGGGUAGCCGGCCUGAGAGGGCGACCGGCCACACUGGGACUGAGAUACGGCCCAGACUCCUACGGGAGGCAGCAGUGGGGAAUAUUGCACAAUGGACGGAAGUCUGAUGCAGCAACGCCGCGUGCGGGAUGAAGGCCUUCGGGUUGUAAACCGCUUUCGAUCACGACGAAUGUGACGGUAGUGAUUAAAGAAGCACCGGCUAACUACGUG
rnacentral:rRNA from 1 species